UACGUAGGGUGCGAGCGUUGUCCGGAAUUAUUGGGCGUAAAGAGCUUGUAGGCGGUUUGUCGCGUCUGCUGUGAAAGCCCGGGGCUUAACUCCGGGUCUGCAGUGGGUACGGGCAGGCUAGAGUGUGGUAGGGGAGACUGGAAUUCCUGGUGUAGCGGUGAAAUGCGCAGAUAUCAGGAGGAACACCGAUGGCGAAGGCAGGUCUCUGGGCCGAUACUGACACUGAGGAGCGAAAGCGUGGGGAGCGAACAGG
rnacentral:rRNA from 1 species